CUCCACCCAUUCCUCCAAAGCCACAUAUUCCUCCUCCUCCUCCUCCACCCAUUCCACCCCCAAAACUGCCAAGACCCCCGUAGCUCCCGCCAAAGCUGCCCAUCCUGCUGCCAUACCCACCACCAUAGCACCCACCCAUGGACAUCCUGGCACUGCCCCCCCAUGUUGUGGAGGCUCCGGCUGCCAAAGCCCCCGCACCGUCCUCCACCUCCGAAUCCCCUGGACACAGAGUACGAGCUGUAGCUGCUCCUGCUCCUGCUGCCACCUCCAAAGCCACCACCGAUUGCAGAGCAGGAGCUUUGGAGGGGGGAGCAGCUACAGCUCGUACUCUGUGUCCAGGGGAUUCGGAGGUGGAGGACGGUGCGGGGGCUUUGGCAGCCGGAGCCUCCACAACAUGGGGGGGCAGUGCCAGGAUGUCCAUGGGUGGGUGCUAUGGUGGUGGGUAUGGCAGCAGGAUGGGCAGCUUUGGCGGGAGCUACGGGGGUCUUGGCAGUUUUGGGGGUGGAAUGGGUGGAGGAGGAGGAGGAGGAAUAUGUGGCUUUGGAGGAAUGGGUGGAG
rnacentral:lncRNA from 1 species